GAAGCAGCAAGGCUAUGCAAGAUCGGGAUUGAGGUGCCCCGAUACUGUUGGAGAAGGAAACUUAAACAAGGCCUGUGUGAACAAUGUCUGAUUCCGGCUAAUGUUAAAGAUCUCACCACGAUUACAGCCCUGCUGACAAACCUGGUGAAAGAUGCAACCUCCAAGAAGAUCCAGUUGUCUCGGGACUGUGCCACAGACUUCAAGAAAUUUAACGACACCUCUGCCCUGAUACUCCGUGGUCCUCGGGAGACAAAAAAUCUCACCGUGUUAUAGACAGAUGCCUCAGAUGUUGAUCUGGGGGCUGUGUUGCCCCAAGGGGUAAAGGGAGAAGAACACCCAAUCCUUUACCUCAACCAGAAAUUGUUCCCCCCGGAAGUGG